AUAGAACUAGUGUGAACGUGUGAUUGAUGGUCGGAUUGGACUUAUUGGGCCAAAGGUGCUGUUUCCAUGCAAUGGCUCCACAUGACUCGAUUGUUUAAGUAUUUCCCU